rnacentral:lncRNA from 1 species
UUCCCAUAGGGCGCUCAGCAGCUGGUGCAGGGCGCUGCGCGUCGAGCCCCGCUCCCGCCACACCGACACCAUGGCCCCCGACACUGCGGGGACAGCGCCGCGUCACCAAUGUCACCGUGUCCCCAAUGUCACCAUGCCCCCAUGUCCCCGUGUCCCCAAUGUCCCCAGUGUCCCCGUGUCCCAGUGUCCCCAGGUCCCCAUAUCCCCAUAACCCCAUGUCCCCCCAUGUCCCCAUGUCCCCAUGUCACUGCGUCCCCAUGUCCCCAUGUGCCCAUGUCCCCGUGUCCCCAUGUCCCCAUGUCCCCUUGUCCCCCUGUCCCCAUGUCCCUGUGUCCCCAUGUCCCCAUGUCCCCAUGUGCCCAUGUCCCCGUGUCCCCAUGUCCCCAUGUCCCCAUUGUCCCCAUGUCCCCAUGUCCCCGUGUCCCCAUGUCUCUGUGUCCCCAUGUCCCCAUGUCCCCAGUGUCCCCAUGUCUCCCUGUCCCCUUGUCCCCCUGUCCCCAUGUCCCUGUGGCCCCAUGUCCCCGUGUCCCCAUGUCCCCAUGUCCCCGUGUCCCCAGUGUCACCGUGUCCCCGUGGCCCAGUGUCCCCAGGUCCCCAUAUCCCCACAACCCAGUCCCCCCAUGUCCCCAUGUCCCCAUGUCACUGCGUCCCCAUGUCCCAAUGUCCCCAUUAUCCCCAUGUCCCCUUGUCCCCCUGUCCCCAUGUCCCUGUGGCCCCAUGUCCCCAGUGUCCCCAUGUCCCCAUGUCCCCACAUCCCAAUGUCCCCAGUGUCCCUGUGUCCUCCAUGUCCCCAAUGUCCCCAGUGUCCCCAUGUCCCCGUGUCCCCAUGUCUCUGUGUCCCCAUGUCCCCAUGUCCCUGUGUCCCCAGUGUCACC